GCUUUUUCUCUUUUCCCUCUUCUUGCUUUUAUUCGGUUUCUCAAACUCCCGCUUCUUCCCCAUCCCAUUUCCUGUGUCCCUGGAGAUGCCAUUCUGAAACAUUUAGCAACCACCAUCACACACCAUAAUGAAGAAAUGAUGUAGCGAAAUAUGGCAAGUGCAGGGUCAACCUUAAGCUUUGGGAAGUAAAGCCCUAGAUUAGGGCUCCAAAUACUUUUAGAUCUACCCAACGUUAGGGUUAAUGCUUCAAAUUUAAAAUAGAUUUGAGGUCUUGCCCAAUCCUUCAUUAACAGAUUUUGUGCACUUGAUAAAGCACGCCAGGUGUUCGAUGCCAUGCGGAAGAGAGGCGCUUUCAAUUUUACGGAUGCCAACAAGAUCACAUGUAACGUUAAGUAUACACAAUUAAGGAAGUGUGCAGAAAUUGAGUAAUUUCUCUCUUCUUACAAGUAUUUUUAAUCUUUUUGUUAGGACUUGGGAGUUUAGUGGAAGAGUGAAAGGUAUACAGCUGGAUAUUGUAGACACAACAAGUGCUCAAGAAUCAAGAUGCUUUUCUAGCUGGAGUAUCAUCAAAACAGGUAGUGAAUGAACCACUUGAAAGUAUAUGAUAUCCUAUGUUCUUGGUUUAGAUGGGAAUAGCAUGGCAAAAGUGUUUUAUGAGCUUUGUACAGUGUAAAUGAGGGACUGAUAGUACGUGUCUUGGUGACGCCUUUGUUCGGUCUUAGUUCAAUGGUUGGAUUGCUGAUGAAUCUAGGCAUGUCUUUAAUGCUUCAAAGUAUAUUCACUAUGAGGGUGCUAAGGUUUAAACCAAGCGUCCGCUACGUAUUGAAGAGGGCCACUUAAGGAAAAAAAAAUGAGCUAAAAGCUUUACGAAAAGUUUUUGAAGGCCAAUGAGCAAACUUUGAAGCUACGGUGUGAAAUAUUAUGAAAAGGCUACACAUUUAAGUAUUUCGGGAUUUUAGAUUAGAUUAAUAGGAUGUUUGUUGAAAACUAUAUUUAUUUAUUACAUUGUUAUUUUGAGAUUGGACACAUGUAAAAUUACCGGAACAGUUAUAUAUCGUAUUUAUGUUAUUAUUGUGU
rnacentral:lncRNA from 1 species